GAUGAACGCUGGCGGCGUGCCUAACACAUGCAAGUCGAGCGGCAGCGAGGGGUGCUUGCACCCUGUCGGCGAGCGGCGGACGGCUGAGUAACGCGUGGGAACGUGCCCCAAAGUGAGGAAUAACUGCCCGAAAGGGUAGCUAAUACCGCAUAUUAUCUUCGGAUCAAAGGAUUUAUCCGCUUUGGGAGCGGCUCGCGUCGGAUUAGGUAGUUGGUGAGGUAAUGGCUCACCAAGCCGACGAGCCGUAGCUGGUCUGAGAGGAUGACCAGCCAGACUGGAACUGAGACACGGUCCAGACUCCUACGGGAGGCAGCAGUGAGGAAUCUUCCAGAAUGGGCGAAAGCCUGAUGGAGCAACGCCGCGUGCAGGACGAAGGCCUUCGGGUUGUAAACUGCUUUUAUAAGUGAGGAAUAUGACGGUAACUUAUGAAUAAGGAUCGGCUAACUACGUG
rnacentral:rRNA from 1 species